rnacentral:rRNA from 1 species
GAUGAACGCUAGCGGCAGGCCUAAUACAUGCAAGUCGAACGGUAAGGCCCUUUCGGGGGUACACGAGUGGCGGACGGGUGCGUAACGCGUAUGCAACAUGCCUUCCAGCGGGGGAUAUACCAGGGAAACUUGGCGCAAUACCCCAUAGAAUUACGGGACCGCAUGGUCUUGUGAUUAAAACUCCGGUGCUGGGGGAUUGGCAUGCGUGACAUUAGCUAGUUGGCGGGGUAACGGCCCACCAAGGCGACGAUGUCUAGCUGGUCUGAGAGGAUGAUCAGCCACACUGGGACUGAGACACGGCCCAGACUCCUACGGGAGGCAGCAGUAGGGAAUAUUGGGACAAUGGGGGGGAACCCGUGAUCCAGCCAUGCCGCGUGUGUGAAGAAGGCCUCGGUUGUAAG